UUCCUCCAGGGCAGAGCCCUACUGAAGUGUUCUUGUAUGGGGAAAAUGUACUCUGUAUUUUUUUAAUAUAUUCUAUAUUUUUGUUGUGCAUAGAAUUACUGCUUCAUUCGACCCUCUGUUUCUUUUUCUAGGCUGAGGGUGAGCUGGCCCAUUGGAGGGUCGUUCCCGAUCACCUCCAUCCCGACCUGAUGCCAGCGUUCUCACCAUCUUUUAGCUGUGCGUGGUAGAUUUUGAUCCCUCUGCUCUAUCUCCAGUGUGAGGCCGUGAGGAGUGUGGGUGGCCAGGAAAGGGGCCACGGGUUGCAGCUGAUCCGCCAGCUUUAUCCUGAGGGAUUCAAAGGAAUGCUUAAGCCACGUUUGAAACAGGUUACUUGAGUCAUGGCUUCUUCCAUUUUGUAGAAGACUCUGUGUCGAUUACGCAGUGUUAUGGUACUAAGGGGCUGCAGAGUUGCAGUAGUGGUGGGGGCCAAUGGGUGUGGACUGGGAUCCCCCCCACCGGCCCAGAGGGGGGGGGGACAGGGCCAGAUUUACAUAGCAUUGGAAGUCUAACUUGUCGGGCAGGAUAGCAAGGUGGCGGCUGCCCACACCACUCACCGCCUGAGGAGGCCUCAUUGGGGUAGACAAAGGAUGGCCCUCCAGACUCGGUGUCUGUAGAGGCAGCUUUUUGUGGUUUAGUGUGUAUAUAAAGGGGUCUGUAUGGUGUAAUAUGUGUGGCUAGGGACUGUAGUGUAUAUGUGUGUCCACAAGCUGCAAAGUAUGUGUAUGUAGGGCCUGGAGAGAGAGUGUGUAUGCUUGUUCAUAUGUAUAUGGGGUCUAGUGUGUAUUGGGGUUGUAGUGUUUGUCUGCAGUGGCAUAACUACCAUGGUCAAAGGGGUCACUGCUGCGACUAGGCCCGUCACUCCAGGGGGCAUGCCCGCAGCAGAAACCCCUGCAACCACGGGCCACCAUUACUUUGCUGGGUCACCUGGAGGAGGGUAGAGCACAGAACAGUGCUCCCCGUCCCUGACGGUCACAACAAGUAGCGUGGCCAAGCGGACCGGGGUAGAGAGGCUUCCGUUUCCCUUUACCCGGUCUGACAGGAAGUGCUCAAUGUCUUUGUCUUUGUAUGUAUGUCUUGUGUGUGUGUCUAUGUGUGUGUGUCUUGUGUGUGUGUGUCUAUGUAUGUGUGUCUUGUGUGUGUGUGUGUGUGUGUAUGUAUGUGCGUAUGUGUCUUUGUAUGUAUGUCUUGUAUGUGUGUGUGUCUGGUUUGCCUGAAAACAAGUCCAGGCCUGCUAAGGAGCCUCUCACCUAGUGCACCAGUCCCAGACAGAAGUGGCCCAUUAAAUGUGUUACCACUUUUGGUGGUGUCACCCUGUGGUGACCCG